rnacentral:rRNA from 1 species
AUUGAACGCUGCGGCAGGCUUAACACAUGCACGUCGAGCGCGCGGCGGACGGGUGAGUAAUGCUUAGGAAUCUGCCUAUUAGUGGGGGACAACAUCUCGAAAGGGAUGCUAAUACCGCAUACGAAUAGAGGAGACUAAGUCGGAUUAGCUAGUGGGUGGGGUAAAGGCCUACCAAGGCGACGAUCUGUAGCGGGUCUUAGAGGAUGAUCCGCAACACUGGGACGUGGGCACGGCCCAGACUCCGACGGGAGGCCGCAGUGGGGAAAAUUGGCGCAUGGGGGGAACCCUGAUCCAGCCAUGCCCCGGGUGUGAAGAAGGCCUUAUGGUUGUAAAGCACUUUAAGCGAGGAGGCGUUACUCGCAGAAUAAGCACCGGCUAACUCUGUGCCAGCCGCCGCGGUAAUAC